CCAAUAGCGUAUAUUAAAGUUGUUGCAGUUAAAAAGCUCGUAGUUGAACUUCAGGCCUGUCCAGAUGGUCCGCCUUAAUUGGUGUGUACUGUCCUUGGGUGGGUCCUACCUUCUGGCGAAGCGGCAUGGCCUUAAUUGGUUGUGUUGGGGAACCAGGACUUUUACUGUGAAAAAAUUAGAGUGUUCAAAGCAGGCAUUAUAUGCUCGAAUACAUUAGCAUGGAAUAAUGGAAUAGGACGAUGGUUCUAUUUUGUUGGUUCUAGGACCGUUGUAAUGAUUAAUAGGGAUAGUUGGGGGCAUUAGUAUUCAAUUGUCAGAGGUGAAAUUCUUGGAUUUAUUGAAGACUAACUACUGCGAAAGCAUUUGCCAAGGAUGUUUUCAUUAAUCAAGAACGAAAGUUAGGGGAUCGAAGACGAUCAGAUACCGUCGUAGUCUUAACCAUAAACUAUGCCGACUAGGAAUCGGGCGAUGUUGACAAAAUGACUCGCUCGGCACCUCAUG
rnacentral:ncRNA from 2 species